rnacentral:rRNA from 1 species
UCAUUAACGUAUUUUGAAUCAAGGGGGAACGUGGUCCGUCCGGCCUGGGGCGCCUCCCCGAUUUCGGUGGAGAAGCAAGUGCCGGCCUGCGAGGAGCGCAUCCACCCUCUGGGGGAAGUAGUUUGGGCACUGAGCAAAUGUGCUUCAAGAUUGGCUUUGUGAACGUGCCGCCUCGGCCUUUUGGGAGACGUAGUUGGGUUCCGCGGACGAGAUGCCUCGGCCUUCUGGGGGAUGUAAGUCGGGUCCGCAAACGGACUGCCUCACCUCCAGGGGGACGUUUGGGUGGAGCACGCGAGUGGAACGCCUCGAUCCCAGGGGGGACGUAGUUGGGCAUGCGAGCGGGGUGCCUCGCCCCCAGAGGGGGACUUUAAAACAGAUUUUGUUGUUCUGGGUCCUCGUAAGGUCGUCGUUGCAGCUCUGCAAGUUUGGCCCUCAAGCGCGGCCUCGGGCCCCCCGCAUUCUAAUCCACUUUAACACCUGUGCACCUUUAGGCGAGCGCCCUCCAUUUGGAGCCGUCUGGCGUUUCGGCGUCGGACCGGGGUGCUCUCCGCCCCAAACACACCACUGCCCUGUCUUGUAACGCUGUAAACCGCCCCAAGGGGUGAUAAAGUUAAUACAACUUUCAACAACGGAUCUCUUGGCUUUCGCAUCGAUGAAGAACGCCGCGAAAGUGCGAAACGUAAUGUGAAUUGCAGAAUUCAGUGAAUCAUCGAAUCUUUGAACGCAUCUUGCGCUCCUUGGUAUUCCGAGGAGCAUGCCUGUUUGAGUGUCGUGAAACCCUCUCGGACCUGCCCCUUUUGCCGGGGUGGGUUUGGAUUUGGACGCCUGCGGGUCGCCGCUCGUCUUUAAAUGCAUUAGCUGGUCCCUUUGUGGUCGGUCCGAACGACGGUGUGAUAACAAAACGCUUAGUGCGCCGUUCGUUGCCUGACAUGGUCGCUUAGAGCCGUCCUCCUCGGACAACCUUCAUGUCAUCUGACCUC